AAAAAAGAAGAAGAAGAAGAAGAGCAGCGUCUGGAUCAGCGAUCUGGACAGGUAAUGUCCUGUUCUGCAGUGCCGGGGGGCCAGACGGGUGUAAAGAUAAUUUUCUGGACCCGGACUCAGACCUCAGAGACGCAGAGUGAUGGAUCCUCUGGGGAGUCAGAGGCAGGAGGCUUAAAUGAAUGAUGAUCAGACAGGAUUCUUCUCAUUAGCAACACACCUCUGCUGUGAGAGGGGGCGGAGCCUCAGGUGGGUCCGGUUCAAGUUCUGGAGAAUCGGGUCCAGUUCGUUCCGACUCGGUUUGUGUGAACAGAAGGUGAAGCAAAGAUCUGAUCAGUGUAAGUUGAUCAUUCUCCAUUUGAUGAGACCUGAAACGUUUUCACCUCACCCCGCAUGAGGACAUAAAAUGGAAGUCUGUAUUUAGUUUGUACUCAACUUAGCGAAGGGGCUAGUUGCUCACAAAGGCUGCACUCUAUCUGGUCCGCACAACUAAAGGGCACCAGCACAAAUCGGUGUGUUGCAAAAUCAGCAGGAAAAUGUCCAGAGUAUGCAAAGCAGUGCUCAACCUCUGGGUCCGGGGAGAGGAGGAGGAACCACAUGGAGAAGAAGCAAUUUCCAACUGAAGAGAUUUCAUACCAACAUCUGAUCAUGAGCUAUUCAAGCUUGUCAAACCGUCACGUCACUUUAUACCCAAGAAUCAGCGAUCUGUACAGCUCAGCAAACCAUCAAUCACUUGGCAAAAUAUUAGAAAAAGCUGUAUACUGUACCUUCAUAUUUAGGGUGAUAUGAAGGAGUAUUUUCUAAGGUGGAAGAAUGAGAUGCUUCUCAGGCACCGCAUACUGUAUGCUGUCCUGCAAUAUUACGAUAAAUCUGCCCUGCAUAACAUUUAAAAAAACAAAACAACUCAGAAAUAUAAAGGUCAAACUCAUCAUUUUGAGCUUAUUGUAACCUUAGGAAGAGAUGGAGCUUCAAAUGUUCGAGAAGAAAAGGGAAACGGCAGAAAAUGUCUUGUUAGCAUUUUUUUUGUCUAUCAUAUUGUACAUGUUCAAAAAGUAAAUAGGACAAUUUCAAGGUGAUUUACAGAACAUUGGGUCAUGUAACACUGUCGUUUGAAAAAUGGAUUUUCUGUGUCAUUCAUGUUUUAAGAUAUUCCUGUACACAGAUAUUCUGUACUGUUUUUGGUAGAUCGGGUUUGCAUACAUCAGUCAUCUGAUGUAUCAUUGUGUGUGUGUAUAUACAAUAUAUACAGUUAUUAUUUUUUAAAAUCUUAAAAAAAACUGUUCAUCUGGACUGAAAUGGGUUCAGAUCCAAACUGAUGAAACUUGAAUUAUGGAAGAUGCAGUUAUUUUUGGCCUGUUGGAUAAACUUUUGCUGCUCAUACAUGAUGCAUAUUUCAGUGAUAACUUAGAAAGUGUUGUUGGUCCAUGAAGACCUGUAAAACUCACCAAUCAUGCCUUUAACCCACUUCUCAGAUUUAGCAGGGUUCUAUUGUGCUACCAGGCUACAAUAUGUCUGGAUUCGAAUUUCUUUCUUUCUGUCUUUUUUGUUGAUUUGUGAAGCAGUGUACAGAAAAUGUCUGACCUGUUACUUUCUAAACCUUUAAUUCAGUUCAUUAUUCCAAGUUGGGAAGCGUUUGGCAGCUCAGAGACGGCCGUCGUUUAUCUCAGUCUUUCCAAAUGUCCCAAUUCAAAGGUACCUCAAUUCAAGCUUGAAGUACCUGGAGACCAAUCAGAAUUGCCUGACAUUUUUCCAUACUAAACAGAGCAGACUGGUUGAUAAUGUUUUCCAGUUGAAAAUGAAGUGAAAUCCACAUGGCUUGAUUUCUCCCAUUAAAAGAGCUUUUUUUUUUUCUUGUGCUUUAUAAAACUUCUGCUGAUUCCAGGAGCAUAUGAGUUUGUCCAUGUAAAUAUGUCUAUUGUCAUCCAAGUCUGAUGGGGUGCACAUGUGUUUAUGAUGCAAGUCAGUCCAUGUAUUUUGUCUCUUGAGCAAUUUUCCAUCUUAUUUGCAAGAGGUUAUUCUGUGUGUGUGUGUGACAAAACCAGAUAUGCUUUUGGAGCGUACAGCGGGCCUGAAUGGGGGAAGCGAGUGUUUUAAAGCAAAAGCUUGGUACGUCAAGGAGAUUAAUGUGGUGCUAUUGUCUACCGCUCUCAUCAGAACACUUUUAUCUCCAGAAAAUGACGGAGCUUGCACUUUUCAUUAUGUACGUUAGGUAGCGAGCGGCGCUUCACGCCCCGUCUCGGGCCCUUACUUCCCCUUUCACAAAAGGAUUGCUAUUUGGGGUGAAUG